UCCCAAAGUCAUAGUUAAGUGGGAAACGAUGUGGGAAGGCCCAGACAGCCAGGAUGUUGGCUUAGAAGCAGCCAUCAUUUAAAGAAAGCGUAAUAGCUCACUGGUCGAGUCGGCCUGCGCGGAAGAUGUAACGGGGCUAAACUAUGCACCGAAGCUGCGGCAGCGACACUAUGUGUUGUUGGGUAGGGGAGCGUUCUGUAAGCCUGUGAAGGUGUGUCGUGAGGCAUGCUGGAGGUAUCAGAAGUGCGAAUGCUGACAUAAGUAACGAUAAAGCGGGUGAAAAGCCCGCUCGCCGGAAGACCAAGGGUUCCUGUCCAACGUUAAUCGGGGCAGGGUGAGUCGACCCCUAAGGCGAGGCCGAAAGGCGUAGUCGAUGGGAAACGGGUUAAUAUUCCCGUACUUGGUGUUACUGCGAAGGGGGGACGGAGAAGGCUAUGUUGGCCGGGCGACGGUUGUCCCGGUUUAAGCGUGUAGGUGUGUGUUCCAGGUAAAUCCGGUUCACUUUAACACUGAGGCGUGA
rnacentral:rRNA from 1 species